rnacentral:rRNA from 1 species
AUUGAACGCUGGCGGCAGGCUUAACACAUGCAAGUCGAGCGGAGAGAGGUAGCUUGCUACUGAUCUUAGCGGCGGACGGGUGAGUAAUGCUUAGGAAUCUGCCUAUUAGUGGGGGACAACAUUUCGAAAGGAAUGCUAAUACCGCAUACGUCCUAUGGGAGAAAGCAGGGGAUCUUCGGACCUUGCGCUAAUAGAUGAGCCUAAGUCGGAUUAGCUAGUUGGUGGGGUAAAGGCCUACCAAGGCGACGAUCUGUAGCGUGUCUGAGAGGAUGAUCAGCCACACUGGGACUGAGAAACGGCCCAGACUCCUACGGGAUGAAGCAGUGUGGAAUAUUGGACAAUGGGCGCAAGCCUGAUCCAGCCAUGCCGCGUGUGUGAAGAAGGCCUUAUGGUUGUAAAGCACUUUAAGCGAGGAGGAGGCUACUUUAGAUAAUACCUAGAGAUAGUGGACGUUACUCGCAGAAUAAGCACCGGCUAACUCUGUGCCAGCCGCCGCAGUAA